AUGGAUAUUGGCUUGGCAGUUGGUGGUGCAUUUCUCUCUUCAGCUUUGAAUGUUCUCUUUGAUAGGCUUUCUCCUCAGGGUGAGCUUCUCAAGAUGUUUCAGAAGCAUACGCAUCAUGUUCGUCUCUUAAAAAAGCUUAAAAUGACUUUGUGUGGUCUUCAGAUUGUGCUAAGUGAUGCAGAGGAUAAGCAAGCAUCAAAUCCAUUUGUGAGCGACUGGCUUAAUUAGCUUCGAGAUGCUGUGGACUCUGCUGAGAACUUAAUUGAAGAAGUCAAUUGUGAAGCUUUGAGGCUUAAGGUGGAAGGCCAGCAUCAAAAUCUUGCAGAAACAAGCAACCAGCAAGUAAGUCACCUCAGCUUGUCCUUGAGUGAUGAAUUUUUUCUUAACAUAAAGGAUAAGUUGGAAGAAAAUAUUGAAACAUUGGAGGAGUUACAAAAGCAAAUUGGUUGUCUUGACCUGAAAUUGUGUCUUGAUUCGGGUAAACAAGAAACUAGAAGACCUUCAACUUCUGUGGUUGAUGAAUCUGAUAUCUUUGGUAGGCAGAGUGAAACAGAGGAAUUGGUGGGCCGUUUAUUAUCUGUUGAUGGAAAUGGUAGAAGUUUAACUGUAAUCCCUGUUGUUGGAAUGGGGGGCGUGGGCAAGACAACACUUGCUAAAGCUGUUUACAAUGAUGAGAAGGUGAACGACCAUUUUGAUUUGAAAGCUUGGUUUUGUGUGUCUGAACAAUAUGAUGCUUUCAGAAUAGCAAAAGGAUUGCUUCAAGAGAUUGGCUUACAGGUUGAUGAUAAUAUAAAUCAGAUUCAGAUCAAAUUGAAGGAGAGCUUAAAAGAUCUCGGAAGUAAGAUCAUUGUGACAACACGUAAGGAGAGUGUGCCUUGAUGAUGGGUGGUGGGGCAAUGAAUGUGGGGAUUCUGUCUAAUGAAGUCUCUUGGGCUUUAUUCAAACGACAUUCAUUAGAAAACAGGGAUCCUGAGGAACAUCUAGAACUUGAAGAGAUUGGAAAGAAAAUUGCAGAGAAAUGCAAAGGAUUGCCUUUAGCUAUAAAGACCCUUGCU